rnacentral:rRNA from 1 species
GACGAACGCUGGCGGCGUGCUUAACACAUGCAAGUCGAACGGAAAGGCCCUGCUUUUGUGGGGUGCUCGAGUGGCGAACGGGUGAGUAACACGUGAGUAACCUGCCCUUGACUUUGGGGUAACUUCAGGAAACUGGGGCUAAUACCCGAUAGGAGCUUCUGCUGCAUGGUGGGGGUUGGAAAGUUUCGGCGGUUGGGGAUGGACUCGCGGCUUAUCAGCUUGUUGGUGGGGUAGUGGCUUACCAAGGGUUUGACGGGUAGCCGGCCUGAGAGGGUGACCGGGCACAUUGGGACUGAGAGACGGACCAGACUCCUACGUGAGGCAGCAGUGGGAAAUAUGGCACAAUGAGCGGAAGCGUGAUGCAACAACGCCGCGUGCGGGAUGACGGCCUACGGGGGAUAAACCGCUUUCGCCUGUGACGAGGCGUGAGUGACGGUAAUGGGUAAAGAAGCACCGGCUAACUACGUG